CCUACGGGUGGCAGCAGUGAGGAAUAUUGGUCAAUGGCCGGAAGGCUGAACCAGCCAUGCCGCGUGAAGGUCAGUGCCCUAUGGGCGUUAAACUUCUUUUGUGCGGGAGCAAUAAUGGUCACGUGUGGCCAGACGAGAGUACCGUACGAAUAAGCAUCGGCUAACUCCGUGCCAGCCGCCGCGGUAAUACGGGGGAUGCAAGCGUUAUCCGGAUUUAUUGGGGUUAAAGGGGUCGUAGGCUGGGAGGUAAGUCAGCGGGGAAAUGCCCGCGGUCAACGGGGUGAAGUGCCAUUGAUACUGCCUGGCUGGAAUGCGGAUGCCGUAGGAGGAAUGUGUGGUGUAGCGGUGAAAUGCAUAGAGAUCACACAGAACACCGAUUGCGAAGGCAGCUCACGAAUCCGCGAUUGACGCUGAUGCACGAAAGCGUGGGUAUCAAACAGGAUUAGAUACCCGAGUAGUC
rnacentral:rRNA from 1 species